rnacentral:lncRNA from 1 species
AUAUUCUUUAGUAUCUUGAUCCAUUUCAUUACCAAUAUCUUAGAUUACAAUGGCAUAAUUGAAAGGUUCAUAAAAUUACACAAUAAAACGAAAUUUAAAAAAAAAAAUACAAUUAUUAGGUGCCAACACAACAACUAAAUGGCAACUCUAUAUUAUUUUAUCAAAAAGUUUAUUGCAUAGAUUUGUUGCUAAUAAAAGGACUCAUUCUUUCAUGCAUAAGUGUACUCUCUUGGAGCUCAUAUAAUCACAGUCCAAUCACAAAACUAAAUCUACAUUUAUUGUCUUCGCACCUAUAUAUUUUAGUAUAACUGGUUGGACAAUCUUUAACUGUUUUGCAGUCAAUUAAAACUGUAAUAAUAAAACAAAAUAAAAAAUUGUUAUUAAAAUGAGAUAAAAACAAUGUACAACUACAAACUAAAGACAUAAAUUUGAAAAGGAUGAGAAAUCAUAUUACCACCACUGCUCUUUUCAAUAUGAAGUAAGAAAAGAAAUAAAGUCAUAGCAUACAAAAACAUUAUAGUCUUAGACAUAUUUUUUCACUUUUUUCCGUGUAACAAUUAUAAUAUGAUUUGAUCACUUUAUAGUGUGUAAAAUCCAUGUUGUACUUAAAAAAAAAAAAAAUUAGCGUGCUUAAGGAAUUUUAGAAAACCCUCUAUGGAAUUAAAAUAUUUUUUAAAUAUCUUUUAGGUAUAUCAAUGUGUUGUGUUUGUCCCUUUAUAACACUUACUAAUUUUGUAACAUAGAAAACUUUCUAAUCAUUGGAAUUCAUUCAUGUUUAAUUAACCUUUCAACCUUUAAUGACAAAUAUAUAGUAAUUUUAAAAAUAGUAAUAAAGAAGGUUUUUUUCUAGAUUACCCUCUCUUAUUUAGAGGGUAUUUUACCCUCUCAUGAUAUCAACUAAUCAACAUGUAAUAUACAUUGACAACAUUAAAUGUUAUAAAUGAGUCAAUUUUUUCAAAAAAAAAAACCAAUUAUAAUCAUAAGGUAACUUUUAAUACUUUUAAUUUUUAUUUAAUUAUAGACAUGAUUACAUUAGAGAUCCUUUAUCUUAUUUAUUUGUUACAUUUGGGUUCUUUAUCUUUAUUUUUUUCCGCUUAGGUCUUUUAUCUCUUAUAAAAGCACAUAUACAUCCUUUUUCUAAUUUUUUUAUUAAAAAAAUACAUAAUUUUAUUUUUUAAAAUAUCUUUUUUAUUAAAAAUGAAACAAAUUCAGAAAUAUGAUGAAGAUGUUCAUCAUCUUCUUCCUUUGAAUCUUCAUCAUCUUCAUUGAAUCAAAAAAAUUUCUACACAAAUAUAUCUCCAAAUAUCAUGAAUUAAUGUUGUAUCCACCUCAAAUUUUCUUUUAAACACAGAAAUCAAACCCCUAUAGAGAAAGAAAUUUAGUUUCAUCACAAAAAAAAAGCAUUAGUUAUAUAAAUUGUCACGCUGUAUAUUAUUAUUAUUAUUAUUAUUAUUAUUAUUAUUAUUAUUAUUAUUAUUAUUAUUAUUAUUAUUAUUAUUAUUAUUAUUAUUUUCUAAUUCAAUAUUCAAACCCAUCAUAAAAAUAACCCCAAAAUUGAUAGUAGCUUUGCACAUCAAUUUUGUUGUUUCCAGAACAAUCUUAACUUUCGUAAAGCCUAACCCUUCCGCCAGUGACUAAGCCUCCACCAUCCGCUUUGCAACAUUUGUGAAAUUAAGGUUUUGAUUUUUAUGUUUAAAAUAAGAUUUGAGGUGAAUAUAACAUUAAUUCACGAUAUUUGGAGAUAUAUUUUAGUAGAUUUUUUUUUAUUUAUUUAAAGAAGAUGAUGAAGAUUCAAAGGAAGAAGAUGAAGAUGAUGAACAUCUUCAUCAUAUUUUUGGAUUUUUUUUUCAGUUUUAAUAAAAAUAUAUUUUUAAAGAUAAAAUUAUGUAUUUUUUAAUAAAAAAAAUGCGAAAAAGAUGUAUAUGUGCUUUUAAGAGAGAUAAAUGACCUAAACGGAAAAAAAUAAAGACAAAGGACCAAAGUGUUACAAAUAAAUAAGAUAAAUGACCCAUAAUGUAAUAUUGCCUUAAUUAUAUUUAGGUGUUCAAUCUUAAUUAAUUUACACUAGAUGACUGGCUUAGAACAAUUAAAAGUUCACAUCAAAUUUCUUUCAUCUGAAUGUCCUUAAAUUUAUCAGUUAUAUUCAUAAAAUUUUUUUUUUUUUUGGUAGAUAGACGAAAUGGCAAAGCCAUUAUAAACUCACACACACAAGUGGAGGUACCGGGGUUCGAACCCCGGUCAUGGCAUCCGGCCUAACAAUUUCGGCAUUUUGCCAGUUGAGCUAGGACUUCUGGAUUCAUAAAAUUUAUUCCUCCCAUUUUGAUUGUUCAAUUUUGUCGUUCCCAACUGCCGCAUUUUUCAAUUUUCGUGAGAAUCGUCAUAAUUUCAAAUAUCGUGAGAAUUGUUGUUAUUUCCAGUACAACGUCAGGUAUGAUGACUUGAUUUUUCUUUUUGAUUUGAUUUUUCUUGGUUGUGAGGUAGUUAAUUAUAACAAUUCAGUAAGUCAUCCGUUGUACUUUGAGGGCUGCUAGCAGGUGUUGCCGCUGUGAUGUUGUGGGAGUUUGCUAGCAUUUUUUUGGUUGCUGCUGAAAUGGUUAUGUGAUGAGGCUUUUGUUCUUUUAUUUGGACUUAAAAGGCUUUUGCUGAUAGUGAGACAGGUCUAUGCGUGUUAACAGAUUUUAUUAGGUUGGCUGCUUAAAUAAAAAAAAUAAGUCACGAUACCUGACGCGGUUCUAGAAACAACGACAAUUCUCAAGAUAAUUGGAAAUUGCGGCAAUUUGGAACGACAAAAUUGAACAAUCAAAAUGGGAAGAAUAAUGAAAAAGAAACAAAAAUUGAUCAAUAUGGAAGAAUAAAGAAGAAGAAAUUUGAAAGAAGGAGAUGUUUUUGUUCUCACGUUCGAGGUUCUGGAAUGGAAGAAAUUUUAUGAAUGUAAAUGAUGAAUUUAAGGACAUCUAGAUGAAAGAAAUUUGAUGUAAAAUUUUAUUUGUUAUAAGUCUUGUAGUGUAAAUUAAUUAAGAUUGAACACCUUAAUAUAAAAAAAAUAAAAUUAAAUAAAAAUUAAAAGUUACCUUAUGAUUAAGAUUAACUCUCCUUAAAAAAAAUAAAAUUAAGAUUAACUUUUUUAUUUUUAGAAAAAAUCUACUCAUUUAUGACAUUUAAUGUUACCUAUGUAUAUUACAUUUUGAUUGGUUGAUAUUAUGAGAGGGUAAAUUACCCUCUAAACAAGAGAGGGUAACUUAGGCCUCACCAAUAAAGAAUAAUCAUAAUUACAAGAUAGUUAUACACUAAAUGAAUGUAUUCUAGGAUUUUUUUUAUCCAUAACAACAUUUCAUCAACAUGAAUGAGAGUAUACUUCUUUCGUUCCAUCAACAUUUUUUAUGGAUAAAGAUGUGGUUAAUCAUCAAGGUGAAACUUAGAUCUUUUGUUUCCGUUGAGACUUCCAAGAAAAUCAUAUCCUUUGUGAUUCAGUCAUAAAUAUAUUAUUAAAUAAAUAAAAAAUACGUACAUGAGAGGGGGUCAAAAUCGAAACCCUCAAAAAGGCCAUAAAAUUUCAAUUACAUAAAAUCUUUGAUUCAUGUUGAUAUACAAAAUAUAUUAAGACUUUUGUAACCACCCUAAGUUUUUAAUUAAAUAAGCUCCAAAUUGAUCCUUUGUGAAUUUAUAAUUUGAUUUUUCCAUUAAAAAAAGUAUUAUUGGUAUACAAAAUAUAUGAAGACUUUUGCAACCACGAUAAGUUUUUAAUUAAAUAAGAUCCAAAUUGAUCCUUCGUGAAUUUCUAAUUUGAUAUUUCCAUUAAAAAAAAAGUAUUAUUGGUGUACUAAAUAAUGUUGUAAAGAAUAAAGAUUAACUAUUUUUUUUUUUCCAAAGAAUGUUGUGCUGAUUAAAAAAAAAAAACUUGAAAUUCCAUCAUUAUGAGCAAUUGGCCUACAUUUCGACACGUUCACCCAACCAACAAUCAUUUACAUCACCUUAGAAAUAAAUUAAUAAUAUUUAUUUUAAGGUUUGUGUACCAGUUUCAAACUGCGGAAGUUGGUGGUAGAGUGAGAUGGUGGGUGGUAGGCAGUGGCUUACCGGUGCAACAGAUACAUGGUUGGGGGGUUGGAGAUUUUUUCAGAAUUUGUUUUUUGUGUAUCCGUUUCAUUAUAAGCUCUUGAUUUUAUAUUUAGUAAUUAAGACAUAGACACUCUAAUGUUCUUGUGACACUAGAAAACACUCCUUAUUAUAUGCUCUAAAUUUGCUGAAUUCAAUUUGAAUAUUAAAUUAGAAGAAUAAUCAGAUUGAAAAAAACCACUUUCAUGGACAAAUCUACAACUUGUCGAAAAAAAAAAUGGACAAAUCUACAAAGUGAGGGAAAAUGGUGGUUGUGGAACGAUAGGUGAAUAACUUCAAACUCAUGACUGGAAGUUUGUAGUUUAAGAGAGAGAAAGAUUGAUCAGAAAAGUAUGUUAUGCAAAUCGAUUUCAUGUUUCUUAACCAAAAGAGCCGGUUGCAAGUAUCAAGUCUUAAAAAUAGGGUGAUGUGGCUAGCUUGUGGGGCGUGUGUUAAGAGCCAUAUGUAAGAGAGUUUGACACUAGCAUUGCUCUUAUAAAUAUCGCUUAGUUAAGUUUCAAAUGAAUCAACACUACUACAACUCAUUUCCAAUGUUUUGACAGUUAUUAAAGCACAACAUAUGCUUAAACUUUAAUGAACAAAGAUCUAAUGAAAACAUUCUCUCAACGAAUAAACUGCGAGUUAGGAGCAAGGAUAUCAUAAAAGUUUAAAGGAAAUACAGCGCGCAUGCACAAACACACAUGCACGCACGCAUGCACAUAUAUAUAGAGGGGAGUGGGGGCACACAAAUCAAUUAUACUAGUUUCUCACAAACCGAAAGUAGUUCAGCCCCCUUGCACUUUCAAUGGAUUUUCACUAUUUUCACUAUAAACCAUUAUGUACCAACAGCUUCACACCAAGUGUGCAAUUAAUUGUGAGAGGUUCCCAAUUAAUAUACACCUUCAAAGUCGAACCAUCGAGCUUGGUUUUAUGGAAUUCUAAACUGUGGUAACACAAUAUAGGAAAUCGAGCUAAUAUAAGCCCUAAUUUCAAGGAUUUUGAAAAAACAUAUUAUAUACAAAUGAAAAAACAUAUCCCGCAAUUUCAAUAGAUUCGUCAGUCUCAACAUCGACGCUGGUGAUUCUGCCACAUUCCUUAAAGUGGUCCUUCAAACGAUGGAUUGUCUAUAAAUGCAAAUAUCAAUAUAUUAGUAGCAACUUUGGUCGACGUAUCAGUGUCGUGCUGUGUGUAGUCUAAAAAUUAGAGGUAAUUUUACCUUUCACAUGAGAAUCUCGCUAGUGAAAAAUAACGAUGAUACGGUGGGAGGAGAGUUAUAUAUAGUAAAAAAUUAAGAUAAUCAAAAUAAAAAAAAAAUAAUACAAAAGUCUAUUCAAUAUAAGAUAUUGGGGAAACGAUCAUCAAAGUGUCCGUUUAACAUCAGAUACCAAAGCCCGAAGAAAAGAUAAUAGUGAGUAAAGUUACAGAAUCUGCUACUUUACGGAAAGCCUAUAUCACGUAAAAUCAAUGAAGUAAAGUGUUGAAAACAAUCAAAAUCUAAAAUAAUUUGAAAAAUGAACCUUAAAUAACAAAAUAAUGGUUAAAUACCGUAGAGCAUCCACAUCAGAGCUUUCAGCCUAAAAAUUAUGACAAUUUAAGUGAGGUUAAGGAAUUUCAAAGCACCAAACAAAAAGUUGUAAAUGUCUAACGAUACUCACUUCGUUUCAAAAUACAUGUCGUUUUGGAGAAAUUGCACUAACCAAGGACAAGCUAGUUUGAUACAAAGUUCCUAUUAUACCCUUGUGUUUGAUUUCCUCCAUUUUAUUUAUUUACCCAAUCUCAUAAUUACUCUCAAUACCAAAACUAAUUAAAGUCAAUAAAAAAAAUAUGGCAAUACAAAAAAGCAAUAAAAAAUAAUGGUAAUACCAAUACCAAUUAAUUAUUUUUCAACUCCACUUAUCUAAAUGGCAUAAUGCUUCAGUUAUCAAUUUUUUUUAAACUCAAUUGAAAAACUUCCCUCCCUUAGUUAUAUUCUAAUCUUAAAAUGUUUACCACCAAAGUGAAAUUAAAAUUUGUAUCCCACCGUUUUUUUUCAAAAACACUUAUAAUUCCAGUAUAUAUAAGAGUUAGAUUCUCAUUUAUGAAAUUUAUAUAUAAGAGUUAGAUACUAAUUUAUCAAAUUUAUAUUAAUGUAGAACAAAAUUUCGUUGUGGAUCUCAAUGCUUUUCCGCUUGAUUUAAAUGAAGAACCAUUGUUUGAUUUAAAUGAAGAGCCGCUAUUUGAUUUAAAUCAAGAACUACAUGAUUUAAAUGGUGAGGAAGAAAACCUUUCUAGAAACAGUCACACGAUAGAUUUCGAGGGAGAGUCCAUUAGUCAUUUCUUGGGAGAGUGCAUGAAUAAAUCCACUUAAAAUUGGACCAACACAUUAUAUUUAUUAGUGGAAAAUAAUUAUUGUGGAGAAAAUUUAGAAUCCAAUUAAUUGCAAGGCAAGGGUAAAAUAUAUAAAAUGUAUCCUUAAACUAUCAAAAUUGACAUGUACUCCCUCCGUGUCAAAAUAUAAGCAAAAAUUACUUUUUAGGUUCAUUCAUUUAAUGAUGUAUGUGGUCCAUUCAUUCAUUUAAUGAUGUAUGUGGUCCAUAUAUGGACCAUUUAAUGAUGUAUGUGGUCCAUAUAUGGACCACAUACAUCAUUAAAUGAAUGAACCUAAAAAAUAAUUUUUACUUAUAUUUUGACACGGAGGGAGUAUUUUGAAACAAAAAAUUUCUUCCAAAACGACAUGUAUUUUGAAAUGGAGGGAUAUUAAAUUAAAGUCAUUAUUACUUCAUCUGUCUCAGAAUAAGUGAACAUGUUGACUGUUGCACACAUGCAUCUUUGCUCUUGUUUUUUCUUUUUUUUGGUAUAGUAGCCUAAUGACUAGAGCUCACACAAUUAAUUGUGGGGUGUCCGGGGUUCGAACCCCGCCCCUGCAUAAAUUAUGCAAUGUCCCUACCAACUGAACUAAGCUCACGGGGACCACAUCUUUGCUCUUUAAUAUCCUUAAUUAUGAAAUAAACAUUAAUAUAUCAUUCUUUAAAAAAUUACUCUUCAAAAAAUAUGAAAUAUUUUACCAUUUUUCUCUAUAUUUUCACUCUCAUCCAAACCCCCAAACAGAGGAUAAGUGAAUUACUAUCAUGUUUGUUGUUAAAACAUGUUUAGAAAAAAAAAAUCAAUUAUGAUAAAAAUAGUAUAAUAAUAUUCAUAUAUUAAUAAUGUGUUUUACCAAAUUUUUAUCAUCCAGUUGUUUUAGAAAUUUACUUUUUUUUGUCUGCCUUCUGCACUAUUUUUAUCAAAAGCAAGAGAGAGUAUUCAAAUACAAUGAAAAAGCAAAAAAAAUUGGUUAUUUUUCCAUUGUCUGUGUGUUUUUGCUGCAUCCAUUACAUCAAAUCAACUAAGUAAAAAUGUAUAUGGUUCGAUUCAUACAGUACACAUACCAGAUAAUUGACCAUGUUUGUAGCACCCAUGCUUAAGAGGGUCACAUCAUACAAAUUGAGGAAGUAAUGACAGAUCCACAAUUGCAAAAACCAGCUAAAAAUGUUGAUAGAGUCUUCAAACCGAAAGUGAACGAGCACUUCAAUAUAUUAUUGAAGAACUUGUAUGGGUUUAAGAUAAAAUGAAACUCAAUAAUUUGUUAUGUAUUGGAUUCAUGGUUUGAAGAUGAUGAUUUGGCAUCCAUAUUUUGAGGAAAAAUACACACAGCAGGGUAACAAGGACUUUUGUGUUAGUCAUCUAUUUCUUCAACUAAUAACAUAGAUGAAAGUCGAAAUCAUAAAUUUUAGAGGAUAAAAUCAUAACAUUUUUUUAGGGCCCAAUUUAAAAUCAUUAUAUUUUUAGGGACCACACACAUUGGAUGAAUAGAUUUGCACUAAACCCUAAGUUUGAUGAAUGAAGUUCCAUGGUUCAUAUGACGUCGUUUAAGGAAGGCGACCCUUAUGGGUCAUGUAUGGUAGGACAUGCAUUUACAAUUUUAUUAAUUUUUUAUGUCGGUCUUAUAACUUGCAUUUGUAGGUCAAGUCAGUAUUAGUUACCUGUUGUUGCAAGUCAUCAGUAAUAUAAUAAUCACAUGUAACUUUAAAAAUAAUUUGAUGUAUAUAUGUAUGUGGUUUUUCCAAACUACAAAAUUAAUAAUUAACUUUAAUAUUUAACUAUUAAUUGUUUGUUUUUAAGAAAAAAAUAAUAUAAAUUUUUAAGUGUGGGGGCAUUUUGCACAUAAGUGCAAAACUUCAGGGGGAUAUUUGCAAAACGUCAUGUUCACUAACAGAAAAAUUUGACGGAGGGGGUAAAUUGACUAACGUGAAAUUUCAGGGGGGUAAUUGAAGUUUUCUUAAUUUCAGGGGGGUAAUUGAUGAAACUUACAAUUUCAUGGGGGAAAUUGACUAUUUACUCAUUACUUUAUUAAAGACAAAAAUUAAACAUUAUACUCCCUCCGUCCCUCAAUAAAUGACUUAGUUGACAAUAUACAUUAUUAACUUAAUAUACUUUGACCAUAUUUUUCCACUAAUUCACAAAGAUAAAUAAUACUACCUCCGGUCCUAUUUAUAAGAGAAAUUUAGGUCAACAAAAGUGAAUGUAUUUGGACUGAAUUUUUAACUAGAUACAUCAACUUUUGUUGACCAAAAAUUCUCUUAUAAAUAGGACCGGAGGUAGUAUCAUGUAAGAUGUUGGAACCGUCUCGAUGAAUAUUUUUAAAAUAUUAAGUUUUCAUAAUUUUUUUUAAUAGAGAAUUGAAGAUAUUAAAGAUAAAACAUAUGCAUUGGUACGUGUGUCGAAGUCAACUAGAUCAUUUAAUAUGGAACGGAGGGAGUAAUAUACAUUGCUAGUGGGUCAACAUGUCUAAAGAUUUAUGCCAUUGAAAACUUCUUUCCAAAUCCAAUGGCUAAAAAGCAUUUUAGAAACCUAAAAAAAAAAAAAAUGUAGUCACAUACGGUAGGAGACCCAUUGAGGUCUCCAACCGUAGCCUAAGUCUGGUUCAUAUAUCAUAAACAUUCCUUUUAUAAUAAGGGUCAUGUUAACUUGUACCCUUAAGACAUAAGUUAAGGAGCUUAAAAUGAAAUUUAAAAAUAAAUUUUACUGUAUAUUGAAAGUAUAACUUUUGUUACUUUUAAGGCAUUGAAUGCACAAGUUCCAAGAAAAACUUUCUACAUUUUUCUUAUUAACUUAUGCCUCAAAGACACAAGUUAACAUUUUCCUUAUAAAUAAUUAGACUCAAUAGCUUAUAUUUAGGAUAAAGAAAAGAAUCGGUGGACUCCCCGUUAAGCUAAAUUUAAAUUGAAUUGUGUAAAAAUAAUAAAUUUUAUGACAUAAUCUUUAAUUUAUAGUUGAAGUAAUUAACAUAUGUCUUUUCAAUUUAACUAUUAAAAAUAUUCUGAUAAGUGGUGUGGUUGGAAAGAAAAUGUAAUAUACCUAUUUUGGAGGUAAUGGAGAUACAUCCAAAAUUAAGAGAGAGAGAAAAAAAAUAAUUAUAAUAUUCUUUAGUAUCUUGAUCCAUUUCAUUACCAAUAGCAUAAUUGAAAGGUUCAUAAAAUUACACAAUAAAAAGAAAUUUAAAAAAAAUACAAUUAAUUAUUAGGUGCCAACACAACAACUAAAUGGCAACUCUAUAUUAUUUUAUCAAAAAGUUUAUUGCAUAGAUUUGUUGCUAAUAAAAGGACUCAUUCUUUCAUGCAUAAGUGUACUCUCUUGAAGCUCAUAUAAUCAGUCCAAUUACAAAACUAAUCUACAUUUAUUGUCUAUGCACCUAUAUAUUUUAGUAUAACUGGGUGGACAAUCUUUAACUGUUUUGCAGUCAAUUAAAACUGUAAUAAUAAAACAAAAUAAAAAAUUGUUAUUAAAAUGAGAUAAAAACAAUGUACAACUACAAACUAAAGACAUAAAUUUGAAAAGGAUGAGAAAUCAUAUUACCACCACUGCUCUUUUCAAUAUGAAGUAAGAAAAGAAAUAAAGUCAUAGCAUACAAAAACAUUAUAGUCUUAGACAUAUUUUUUCACCUUUUUCCGUGUAACAAUUAUAAUAUGAUUUGAUCACUUUAUAGUGUGUAAAAUCCAUGUUGUAUUUAAAAAAAAAAAAAAAAAAUUUAGCGUGCUUAAGGAAUUUUAGAAAACUCUCUAUGGAAUUAAAAUAUUUUUAAAUGUCUUUUAGGUAUAUCAAUGUGUUGUGUUUGUCCCUUUAUAACACUUAGGGUCUGUUUGGGAAACCCAAAAAAGAGCUUUUAGCUUAUAACUUAUAAGCUCGUUUGAUAAAAAAAGCUCUGUUUGGUAACACUUUUUCACCAUGAGCUUAUAGCUUAUUUCACGAGCUUAUAAGCUAUUUUUCAGAAGCUAUUCCAAGUAGCGUUUGAGCUUAUAGCUUAUAACUUCUCACUUUUUCUUUCAAUUUUACCCUUAUUAUUUCAUUUAAAUUAUAUUUUUAUCCAUUAUAAUUUUUAUAAUAAGCUACGUAAUAAAGACUACUAUCCCUUUAUUCCAAUUUUUUUAUAUAUUGCCUUUUUUUUUUUGAAAAAAUAUAUACCUUCGUUUUUUUUUUUACGAAACAAAAUACUAUUAUUCUAUUAGUGUUUUUUUUUUUUAGGUAAGUGUUAUUUUCUUUAUUCUCUGUUAUUAGUAUUACUCUAUUAGUGCUAACUUUUUUUUUGUUGUUGAGGUAAAUGUUAUUUUCUUUAUAAAGUGGAAACACUUAAAUGAUAAUAAAUAUAAGAUAAAAUUUUAGUGAAUAAAAUUUAAUUUAAUUUAUAAUACAUAGGAUAUAUUAAAUUAAUAAAUUUAAAGUAUUUUUUUAAAGAAAAAUUAGUUUAAAAAAUUACAAAUACUUAAAUUAAUGAUAUAAUUUUUAUUAUGAAUUAAUAAUACCAUUUAUGUCAUUUUACAUUUAUCAGCUAGUUGAACCGCUAUUUUUACCAAACACUUCAGUUAGCUUAUCAGCUAAAAAUUAUCUGCUAGCUUAUCAGCUAUAAGUUACCAGCUAGCUUAUCAGCUAAAAGCUAUCAGCUAGCUUAUCAGCUAUCCGUUAUUUUUACUAAACAAGCCUUACUAAUUUUGUAACAUAGAAAACUUUCUAAUCAUUGGAAUUCAUUCAUGUUUAAUUAACCUUUCAACCUUUAAUGACAAACAUAUAGUAAUUUUAAAAAUUAGUAAUAAAGAAUAAUCAUAAUUACAAGAUAGUUAUACACUGAAUGAAUGUACUGUAGAUUUUUUAAUCUAUAAAAACAUUUCAUCAACAUGAACGAGAGUAUACUUUUUUUGUUCCAUCAACAUUUUUUAUGGAUAAAGAUGUGGUUAAUCAUCAAGGUGAAACCUAUACCUUUUGUUUUUGUUGAGACUUCCAAGAAACUCAUAUCCUUUGUGAUCCAAUCAUAAAAAUAUUAUCAAAUAAAUAAAAAUAUGUACAAGAGAUGGGGUCAAAAUCAAAACCCUCAAAAAGGCCAUAAAAUUUCAAUUACAUAAAAUCUUUGAUUCAUGUUGAUAUACGAAAUAUAUUAAGACUUUUGCAACCUCCCUAAGUUUUUAAUUAAAUAAGCUCCAAAUUGAUCCUUUGUGAAUUUAUAAUUUAAUUUUUCCAUUAAAAAAAGUAUUAUUGGUAUACAAAAUAUAUGAAGACUUUUGCAACCACGCUAAGUUUUUAAUUAAAUAAGAUCCAAAUUGAUCCUUCCUGCAUUUCUAAUUUGGUAUUUCCAUUAAAAAAAGUAUUAUUGGUGUACUAAAUAAUGUUGUAAAGAUUAACUAUUUUUUUUUCUCCAAAGAAUGUUGUGCUGAUUAAAAAAAAAUAACUUAAAAAAAAAACUUAAAAUUCCAUCAUUAUGAGCAAUGGCCUACAUUUCGACACGUUCGUUCACCCAACCAACAAUCAUUUGCAUCACCUGAGAAAUAAAUUAAUAAUAUUUAUUUUAAGGUUUGUGUACCAGUUUCAUACUGCGGAAGUUGGCGGUAGAGUGAGAUGGUGGGUGGUCGGCGGUGGCUUAUCGGUGCGACAGAUAAAUGGUUGGGGGGUUGGAGAUUUUUUUCAGAAUUUGUUUUUUGUGUAUCCGUUUGAUUUUAUAUUUUGUAAUUAAGACAUAGACACUCUAAUGUUCUUGUGACACUAGACAACACUCCUUAUUAUAUGCUCUAAAUUUGCUGAAUUCAAUUUGAAUAUUAAAUUAGAAGAAUAAUCAGAUUGAAAAAAACCACUUUCAUGUACAAAUCUACAAAGUGAGGAAAAAUGGUGGUUGUGGAACGAUAGGUGAAUAGCUUCAAACUCGUGAAAGGAAGUUUGUAGUUUAAGAGAGAGAAAGAUUGAUCCAAAAAAUAUGUUAUGCAAAUCGAUUUCAUGUUUCUUAACCAAAAGAGCCGGUUGCAAGUAUCAAGUCUUAAAAAUAGGGUGAUGUGGCUAGCUUGUGGGGCGUGUGUUAAGAGGCGUAUGUAAGAGAGUUUGACACUAGCAUUGCUCUUAUAAAUAUCGCUUAGUUAAGUUUCAAA